GAGGGUGUAGCUCAGUGGUAGAGCACGUACGUAACAUGCAUGAGGUCCUGGGUUCAAUCCCCAGUACCGCCA
rnacentral:tRNA from 1 species